rnacentral:rRNA from 1 species
GACGUAGGGGGCAAGCGUUGUUCGGAAUUAUUGGGCGUAAAGCGCUCGUAGGCGGGACAGGAAGUUCGUGUUGAAAGCCCCCGGCUCAACUGGGGAGGGUCAUCGGUAACGGUCGUGCUAUGAGUGCAGGAGAGGGAAGUGGAACUCCGGGAGUAGCGGUGAAAUGCGUAGAGACCCGGAGGAACACCAGUGGCGAAGGCGGCUUCCUGGUCUGCGACUGACGCUGUGACGCGAAAGCUAGGGGAGCAAACGGG